GUCAGGAUGGCCGAUUGGUCUAAGGCUCCGGACACAAGGUUCAAUUCCUUUCACAUGAUGCAUGGGAGAGUAUUCUGGUCUCCGUAUGGAGGCGUGGGUUCGAAUCCCAAUUCUGACA
rnacentral:tRNA from 1 species